rnacentral:rRNA from 1 species
UACGGGGGGAGCAAGCGUUGUUCGGAUUUACUGGGCGUAAAGGGCGCGUAGGCGGCGUGACAAGUCACUUGUGAAAUCUCCGGGCUUAACUCGGAACGGUCAAGUGAUACUGUCGUGCUAGAGUACAGAAGGGGCAACUGGAAUUCUCGGUGUAGCGGUGAAAUGCGUAGAUAUCGAGAGGAACACCUGCGGCCAAGGCGGGUUGCUGGGCUGAUACUGACGCUGAGGCGCGAAAGCCAGGGGAGCGAACGGG